rfam:Canis lupus familiaris chromosome 9, whole genome shotgun sequence.
GCCUGGGUGGCUCAGUGGCUGAGCAUCUACCUUUGGUUCAGGGUGUGAUCCCACGGUUCUGGGAUCAAAUCCCACCUCAGGCU